CAGCCGCCGCGGGAAUGCGAAGGGUGCAAGCGUUAAUCGGAAUUACUGGGCGUAAAGCGCACGUAGGCGGAUUGUUAAGUUAGGGGUGAAAUCCCAGGGCUCAACCCUGGAACUGUCUUUAAUACUGGCGAUCUCGAGUCCGAGAGAGGUGAGUGGAAUUCCGAGUGUAGAGGUGAAAUUCGUAGAUAUUCGGAGGAACACCAGUGGCGAAGGCGGCUCACUGGCUCGGUACUGACGCUGAGGUGCGAAAGCGUGGGGAGCAAACAGGAUUAGAUACCCCCGUAGUCCCUGUCUCUUAUAU
rnacentral:rRNA from 1 species